UACGAAGGGGGCUAGCGUUGUUCGGAAUUACUGGGCGUAAAGCGCGCGCAGGCGGUCUUCCAAGUCAGUGGUGAAAGCCCGGAGCUCAACUCCGGAACUGCCAUUGAAACUGUUGGACUUGAGUAUGGGAGAGGUGAGUGGAAUUCCCAGUGUAGAGGUGAAAUUCGUAGAUAUUGGGAAGAACACCGGUGGCGAAGGCGGCUCACUGGCUCAUUACUGACGCUCAGGCGCGACAGCGUGGGGAUCAAACAGG
rnacentral:rRNA from 1 species